CCUACGGGGGGCAGCAGUUAGGAAUUUUGGGCAAUGGGCGAAAGCCUGACCCAGCAACGCCGCGUGGGUGAUGAAGGCCCUCGGGUCGUAAAGCCCUUUUCCCAGGGAAGCGGUACCUGGGGAAUCAGCCCCGGCUAACUACGUGCCAGCAGCCGCGGUAAUACGUAGGGGGCAAGCGUUGUCCGGAUUUAUUGGGCGUAAAGCGCUCGCAGGUGGUUCGAUGCGUCGUGCGUGAAAGACCCCGGCUCAACUGGGGAGGGUCGUGCGAUACGGUCGAACUGGAGGCCAGUAGGGGGAUGCGGAAUUCCGGGUGUAGUGGUGGAAUGCGUAGAGAUCCGGAGGAACACCAGCGGCGAAGGCGGCAUCCUGAUGGUCCUGACACUCAUGAGCGAAAGCGUGGGGAGCGAUCCGGAUUAGAUACCCUUGUAGUC
rnacentral:rRNA from 1 species